rnacentral:rRNA from 1 species
GUUACUAAGUACNCCUUAAGAUCCCGCUGGGAGUNGAGGGCAAGNUUAAANUCAAAGAAUANNNGGGACCCGCACAAGCGGUGAGCAUGUGGUUGAUUNGCCAUUAAACGAGAACCUCACCUAGGCUUGACAUCUAGCUGCAGACCCCGGGAAACCGGGGAGCCUUAGAGGGUGCUAGACAGGUGCUGCAUGGUUGUCGUCAGCUCGUGUCGUGAGAUGUACCGUUAAGUCGGGAAACGAGCGCAACCCCUAUCCUAUGUUUUACUUGUCAUAGGAAACUGCCCGCUUUAAGUGGGAGGAAGGUGGGGAUGACGUCAAAUCAGCAUGGUCCUUACGCCUAGGGCGACACACGUGCUACAAUGGGGAAUACAAUGGGACGCCAAACCGCGAGGUGGAGCAAAUCCCAAAAAAUUCCUCUCAGUUCGGAUUGAGGUCUGCAACUCGACCUCAUGAAGUCGGAAUCGCUAGUAAACGCGCAUCAGCCAUGACGCGUUGAAUACGUUCUCGGGUCUUGUACUCACCGCCCGUCACACCAAGAGAGCCGGCAAUACCCAAAGACCCCGGUUUCCGGAGUCAAAGUAGGGCGGUANAAGGG